ACCAACGCACUGCAGCUCCCAGAACCAAGAACACCAAGUACAAGAAAAUGAUGAAGAUAUGUAGGAAAUAAGAAACUGAAAGCUUCCGAGUACAAGAGGGAAUAGCUCAGAUUUGAUGUCAUCAAAUAAUAUCUAAUCUUUAAGUCCUAUUUUCCAGGGAAAGAACAAACAAAAACGAAAGUCAUCAUCAUAAUACUGCAGACAAUCUCUCUCUUCUCUUCCCUGCUCAUUUAUGUGUUUGAUGAAAUUAUCCUGCACGAAAGAUGAAGAGACAAUGAUGAAGAUUGAAAGUGAGAGUCAUGUUCAGGCAAGGAGAAGAAGCUCGAAAGAGAGAAUGAUACAAAAGCUGGAGAUGCGUACCGUGACUUAAUUCAGCGGGUCCGCAGGUUCUUAUCGUCUCCUGGAUGAAUCCAUGGAUGCCAAGCAUUCAUCUCCGUCGUUGUGAUCAACACACCGUUCUUUAAAGAGUAUACAAUAGAUUCCGACAUCAAAUAGAUAUACAUGCAGAUCACUGCAUUGAAGUCGAUCAAAAUCACACAGCCUUUUGCGAGUAAUGAUUGCUAGCUAGAGAGCUACCGCAAAGGGAAGCUCCGGCAAAAGACCAG
rnacentral:lncRNA from 1 species